rnacentral:rRNA from 1 species
UACGAAGGGGGCGAGCGUUGUUCGGAAUCACUGGGCGUAAAGGGCGCGUAGGCGGCCUUCUAAGUCAGACGUGAAAUCCCUCGGCUUAACCGGGGAACUGCGUCUGAUACUGGUUGGCUUGAAUCCGGGAGAGGGAUGUGGAAUUCCAGGUGUAGCGGUGAAAUGCGUAGAUAUCUGGAGGAACACCGGUGGCGAAGGCGGCAUCCUGGACCGGUAUUGACGCUGAGGAGCGAAAGCCAGGGGAGCAAACGGG